rnacentral:lncRNA from 1 species
UUAAAUUUCCUCGGGUUAAUUACUCCCUAUGCAGUUCAUAGUUAUUAGGCAAAUGUAGUACCAAAGUUGGGCCCUGCCAGACCAGCUUUAAUCUAAAACGAAUUAUCAAGGGGGUCCCCAUAACAACCCCGAUCGUGUUAGGAGCGCACGUUUAUGGAACAUAACACCGGUAGCCGAAACUAAGGGGGCAAAGGUGGAACAAAACACCAGGCUAGAAAGGCCGAGCCUUCCACCUUUUACCAAGUAUAUAGGUGCAUUUAAAUAAAUAGCAUUACAUAGGGUGAUAUGACAAGGAACCCAUGUUAGCACAUGGAAGCAUCUGCACCUGCAACUAGCAACGCUAACAACAGGGUUAAGCAAGCAGUAACAUAGCCAAACAGUGGUUUGCUAGGUCGAACAGGUUGAGGGUUAUCAUGGCAUUGUUGAGAGGCUGAUAUUUAACAGGUGGUAGGCAACGAGACCUAAACGGUAGCAACGAAAUAACUAGCAUGGCAAUGAUAGUAAUGGUAUCUGGGAAAAUGAUCAUCUUGCCUGAGAUCCCGCUAGGAAGAAGAAUGACUCCGCGAAGCAGACGAACCGACGUAGUCGAACGGUUCCUCACAUCCAACACGCUUGCGGAACUCUAUCGAGACGGAGGAAACCGG